GAUGAACGCUGGCGGCGUGCCUAAUACAUGCAAGUCGAGCGAACAGACGAGGAGCUUGCUCCUCUGACGUUAGCGGCGGACGGGUGAGUAAAACGUGGAUAACCUACCUAUAAGACUGGGAUAACUUCGGGAAACCGGAGCUAAUACCGGAUAAUAUAUUGAACCGCAUGGUUCAAUAGUGAAAGACGGUUUUGCUGUCAAUUAUAGAUGGAUCCGCGCCGCAUUAGCUAGUUGGUAAGGUAACGGCUUACCAAGGCAACGAUGCGUAGCCGACCUGAGAGGGUGAUCGGCCACACUGGAACUGAGACACGGUCCAGACUCCUACGGGAGGCAGCAGUAGGGAAUCUUCCGCAAUGGGCGAAAGCCUGACGGAGCAACGCCGCGUGAGUGAUGAAGGUCUUCGGAUCGUAAAACUCUGUUAUUAGGGAAGAACAAAUGUGUAAGUAACUAUGCACGUCUUGACGGUACCUAAUCAGAAAGCCACGGCUAACUACGUG
rnacentral:rRNA from 1 species